GGGGUGUGACAAGAGGCAUCUAGAAACCUUUUGUAUUAGGGACACCAGUUCUGCUUUUGCACUUCCACUUGAAACCAACGAAAACAAUCUCAUUGUUUAUGAAGAUGAUGCUGCUGACAACCACACGGAAAGGGUGGAGGAAGGUACCCAAAACAAGGAUGACGAAUCGUCUUACCAAACUGGUAAUUUCGCCUCCUUUGGUGAUACCAAAAGAUAAAUUAUUUAUGAAGAUGUUUCCCCCAUCGCCUCCAUUGGUGAUCAUGAAUCUAUUAGUGCAUACCUGUCCAGAAUCCCGAGGAAGAAGAACACGAAGAGGAAAAUACCAGAUGAUGCUGCUAAUUAUGCUUUUGCACUUCCACUUGAACCCGACCAAAACAAUUCCAUUGUUUAUGAAGAUGAUGCCGCUGGUAAUAUUCAUAUAAAUAAAAUUUUUAUCGGUCAAAACCACACGGAAAGGGUGGAGGAAGGUACCCAAAACAAGGAUGACGAAUCGUCUUACCAAACUGGUAAUUUCGCCUCCUUUGGUGAUACCAAAAGAUAAAUUAUUUAUGAAGAUGUUUCCCCCAUCGCCUCCAUUGGUGAUCAUGAAUCUAUUAGUGCAUACCUAUCUAGAAUCCCGAGGAAGAAGAACACAAAGAGGAAAAUACCAGAUGAUGCUGCUAAUUAUGCUUUUGCACUUCCACUUGAACCCGACCAAAACAAUUCCAUUGUUUAUGAAGAUGAUGCCGCUGACAACCACACGGAAAGGGUGGAGGAAAGUACCCAAAACAAGGAUAUGACGAACCGUCUUACCAAACCGAUAAUUUCGCCUCCUUUGAUUAUACCAGAAGAAAGAUUGUUUAUGAAGAUGAUUCCCCCAUCGCCUCCUUUGGUGAUCAUGAAUCAAUCAGUGCAUACCUGUCCAGAAUCCCGAAAAAGAAGAACACGAAGAGGCCAGACCCCUGUUUAUCAUAUGGACUAGUGAAUGAACAAAAAUUAUCAAGGAGUCGUCGAAAUAAAAUACCAAAAAAGAUAUUAGUCCAAAAUUAAGUCCAUUAAAAAAGCGUCAGGAAAAAAAUCCUGAACAAUUAUAGUAUGUUCUUGCGAAAUUAGGCUCGAACGCCCCGCUAUGAGGAGAGCAACCUCAAGUCCACCUCCUCGAGGAACAAGCAAUAGGUAUGGUUUGUAUGUAAUUGCUUAUUUUGAUGUUCAAACUUAUAAUUUUGCAUUCUAGUAUGACAAAAUCGACCUAGGGUUUAGUUGUUUCAGUGUUUGAUAAUUGAUACUUUGAUCAUUGUCCAUUGAUGAUUGUUUAAAUAUUUCACUCCUCGUAA